GCUGCUCCCUUAGGUCAGCGGCGGACGGGUGAGUAACACGUGGGUAACCUGCCUGUAAGACUGGGAUAACUCCGGGGAAAACCGGGGCUAAUACCGGAUGCUUGAUUGAACCGCAUGGUUCAAUNAUAAAAGGUGGCUUUCAGCUACCACUUGCAGAUGGACCCGCGGCGCAUUAGCUAGUUGGUGAGGUAACGGCUCACCAAGGCGACGAUGCGUAGCCGACCUGAGAGGGUGAUCGGCCACACUGGGACUGAGACACGGCCCAGACUCCUACGGGAGGCAGCAGUGGUCUA
rnacentral:rRNA from 1 species